rnacentral:rRNA from 1 species
CAUGAAGUCGGAAUUGCUAGUAAUCGUGGAUCAGCAUGCCACGGUGAAUACGUUCCCGGGCCUUGUACACACCGCCCGUCACACCAUGGGAGUCGGUAACACCCGAAGCCUGUAGUCUAACCGCAAGGAGGACGCAGUCGAAGGUGGGAUUGAUGACUGGGGUGAAGUCGUAACAAGGUAGC